rnacentral:ncRNA from 1 species
GACGACUCAUAGGCAAUGGCUUGGUUAAGGGAACCCACCAAAGCCAUAGUGAAAGCAAGUCUUCAUAGGGCAAUUGUUACUGCUUAUGGACUCGAACCUGGGUGAUCUAUCCAUAAUCAGGAUGAAGCUUGAGUGAAACUAAGUGGAGGUUCAAACUGACUGAUGUUGAAGAAUCAACAGAUGAGUUGUGGUUAGGGGUGAAAUGCCAUAUGAACCCAGAGUUAGCUGGUUAUUCCUGAAAUGCGUUGAAGUGCAACAAUUGACUGGACAUCUAGGGUAAAGUACUGUUUUAGUGUGGGCCGUGAGAGCGGUACCAAAUCGAGGCAAACUCUAAAUACUAGAUAUGUCCUCAAAAUAACAGGGGUUGAGGUCAACCAGUGAUAUGAUUGGGGAUAAGCUUCAUCGUCGAGAGGGAAACAACUCGGAUCACCAGCUAAGGCCCCGAAAUGACUGCUCGGUAAUAAAGAAGGUAGGGAUGCACAAACAACCAAAAGGUUUGCUUAGAAGUAGCCACCCUUGAAAGAGUGUGUAAAAUAUUUACUGAAAAAUCAUCCAAACAUCAAAAAUAUAUAAUCUUAUCCAAAAAUAAAUUUAUUUUUUAAAAAUUAUUUUUCAUAAACUAUAUUUUAUGAAACAAACGUGAAGUGCAUUAUCAUUGGCUCCCAACAACACUCAAGAAAGCC